rnacentral:rRNA from 1 species
CCUACGGGUGGCAGCAGUGAGGAAUAGUGGUCAAUGGACGGAAGUCUGAACCAGCCAUGCCGCGUGCAGGAAGACGGCUCUAUGAGUUGUAAACUGCUUUUGUACAAGGGUAAACCUGAAUACGUGUAUGCAGCUGAAAGUACUGUACGAAUAAGGAUCGGCUAACUCCGUGCCAGCAGCCGCGGUAAUACGGAGGAUCCAAGCGUUAUCCGGAUUUCUUGGGGUGAAAGGGUGCGUAGGCGGAUUGAUAAGUGAGAGGUGAAAUGUCCGAGCUUAACGCGGGAACUGCCUCUAAUACUGUUGAUCUAGAGCGUAGCUGCGGUAGGCGGACUGUUUGGUGUCGCGG